rnacentral:rRNA from 1 species
AGACCCGAAACCCGGUGAUCUAGCCAUGGGCAGGUUGAAGGUUGGGUAACACUAACUGGAGGACCGAACCGACUAAUGUUGAAAAAUUAGCGGAUGACCUGUGGCUGGGGGUGAAAGGCCAAUCAAACCGGGAGAUAGCUGGUUCUCCCCGAAAGCUAUUUAGGUAGCGCCUCGUGAAUUCAUCUCCGGGGGUAGAGCACUGUUUCGGCUAGGGGGCCAUCCCGGCUUACCAACCCGAUGCAAACUGCGAAUACCGGAGAAUGUUAUCACGGGAGACACACGGCGGGUGCUAACGUCCGUCGUGAAGAGGGAAACAACCCAGACCGCCAGCUAAGGUCCCAAAGUCAUGGUUAAGUGGGAAACGAUGUGGGAAGGCCCAGACAGCCAGGAUGUUGGCUUAGAAGCAGCCAUCAUUUAAAGAAAGCGUAAUAGCUCACUGGUCGAGUCGGCCUGCGCGGAAGAUGUAACGGGGCUAAACCAUGCACCGAAGCUGCGGCAGCGACGCUUAUGCGUUGUUGGGUAGGGGAGCGUUCUGUAAGCCUGUGAAGGUGUGUCGUGAGGCAUGCUGGAGGUAUCAGAAGUGCGAAUGCUGACAUAAGUAACGAUAAAGCGGGUGAAAAGCCCGCUCGCCGGAAGAC